GACUGUCAAUCUUCUUUGUUUGACAGAGAGGAGUUCCUGCCCACACUGAAAGAAUAGCUCAACAUCUGUCAUCCCAUUCUCUGCAAUGGCCCAAAAUCAGGAAGACUACAUCUGUCCUCUUCCUUUCAGAUACUUCUGGGAGACAGAGGCAGCAUGAAAUUUUGGGGAUUCUUCACGCCAUUGUCUCUUAGAGAGCACAAAGAAGAGUAGCUAUGGAGGACCCAAAGUCUGCCACUCUACUCAGCUCUGCCAUAAAGUUGAAAUGGUCACCGGCUGCCUAUUUACCCAAGAAAAAACAUAUAAAUGAGACAUGUAAUGUUGCACAUUCAUGGCUCCACACAAAUGCAGCCAUUUUAGUGUUAAACUCCAUGAACUCAUCUCUUGCGGUUGCAUGGACCCAAAGCUUCUUCAACAUGUGAAACAAGGCUGUGAUUGACAACAGCUUUAUUCACUGCGCAGCCCCUGGAGAAGGCUCACCCUGCAAGUUACGUUCACACUCUGCAUGAUGGGAAAAGAGGAGUUCACUGUAAUGUGGUUGUACUUAAAUGCCUCCAAGAUGUUUAUGGAAAAUAAUGCCUUAAGAUGAUUUAUGAUGUCAGAAGCCCCUGGUCAAGCAGGUCUCUUGUAGUUCCUGCCAGUCUUUAAGCCUACAUCAUAAUUCAGGCACAAUAUGCUGUCUGCUCCAGAAAUUGCUAAGUUUUAAGUAUUUGUUUUUUAGAAUCUUGUUAUGGGAAGCUUAUCAACAACAAACGGUGCUUGUGUCUGUAACAAGCAUUCUGCAUGGACACUAAUUUUUGAGUUCUAUUUUGUUGAGCACUUAAUGAAUAGCUAGCUGUGUUCUGUCUUAAUGAUUUUGUCAUUAGUUAAGAAUUUCUAAUGAAAGCAGAAGGAGUACUUCUUUCACUUUAUAUUUGACAGCCUGAAGCCUUUCAGAGAAUCAGGUACAAAAGUGUUUUCUGGAAAAUAGAGAGCAAAUUUAGCAAUCUUUUUUUCUCUUUCCUCAUACACAUCCAGAGUAAAAGAAGCAGAUAUCCUGUGUGGGCUUUGUGCUACUGACACAGACUGAGACUAAAGCUUUUGCAUGAAUUCACUUUGUAAAACUGAUUAUAAAAGAAAGUGUCCCUGUAUAGACUAUUGAAGGCAAGGACUUUAUCUGAGCACUGCUGAUAUCUCUGCUGAUAAACUGAUAUUGCAUUUCUUGCUACCACUUUCUCUUAAGAUCUGUAAUAGACCUGUACAAUCACUAGGGAAUAAAAAUAUCAGAUAAACAGUUCUUAGUAUCUGU
rnacentral:lncRNA from 1 species